GGGACACGUGGUAUCCUGUCUGAAUAUGGGGGGACCAUCCUCCAAGGCUAAAUACUCCUGACUGACCGAUAGUGAACCAGUACCGUGAGGGAAAGGCGAAAAGAACCCCGGCGAGGGGAGUGAAAAAGAACCUGAAACCGUGUACGUACAAGCAGUGGGAGCACCUUCGGGUGUGACUGCGUACCUUUUGUAUAAUGGGUCAGCGACUUAUAUUCUGUAGCAAGGUUAACCGUAUAGGGGAGCCGCAGGGAAACCGAGUCUUAACUGGGCGUUAAGUUGCAGGGUAUAGACCCGAAACCCGGUGAUCUAGCCAUGGGCAGGUUGAAGGUUGGGUAACACUAACUGGAGGACCGAACCGACUAAUGUUGAAAAAUUAGCGGAUGACUUGUGGCUGGGGGUGAAAGGCCAAUCAAACCGGGAGAUAGCUGGUUCUCCCCGAAAGCUAUUUAGGUAGCGCCUCGUGAACUCAUCUUCGGGGGUAGAGCACUGUUUCGGCUAGGGGGUCAUCCCGACUUACCAACCCGAUGCAAACUACGAAUACCGAAGAAUGUUAUCACGGGAGACACACGGCGGGUGCUAACGUCCGUCGUGAAGAGGGAAACAACCCAGACCGCCAGCUAAGGUCCCAAAGUCAUGGUUAAGUGGGAAACGAUGUGGGAAGGCACAGACAGCCAGGAUGUUGGCUUAGAAGCAGCCAUCAUUUAAAGAAAGCGUAAUAGCUCACUGGUCGAGUCGGCCUGCGCGGAAGAUGUAACGGGGCUAAACCAUGCACC
rnacentral:rRNA from 1 species